UUCUGGGAGCUGUAGUGCCCGCGCGCGGCGGCGAGGGGCGCUGCCUCUUUAGCUAAGCCGUUAGCGCCCAGCCCGCCCGAGUGCGGGUCGCGGGCGGCGGCGGCGGCACCCCUGCCAGUGAGCCCUUGUCCGAAGUGGGCCACGGCAUUGACUCGGGGCUGCCCGGGGACCAGGCACUGAGGAGGAAGCUGCGCGCGCGAGGCGAGGGUGAUGGGGCCGAGAAGAACCGGGGCGAUAUAGCGCGGCAGCGGUGACAGCUGGGAUCCGCCGCGGUCGGGUUGCCCCCUCCCCUCGCCCCGACCGCUCCCCUGCUGGUGAGGGCCGGCGGAGGCGGCGGCGGCGGCGGCGCCCCUGGUGGCAGUGGUGGUGGUGGCGGUAGCGGGGCAGCCCCCCGGGAUCGUGUCCGGGGCUCGAGGAGUGGGUGGCGCCCGGAGAGCUAUGCGCGGGGGCGGCGGCGUCUCCUCCUGUUCCGCCUUCUCAGUCUUCUCCUCCUCAGUCUCAUCGGUCCCGCAGAAUCCGCCGGCGGAGGCGGCGGCGGCGCCGGCGCCGGAGCUCGAGAACAUCAUGGCCAACUCGCUGCUGCUGAAAGCGCGUCAAGUCCUCUGCCUCCCGCCACAAAAGCAUCAGUUGGUCCAACCCUUCAGCGGGAGAACCCCGCAAUCCUCUCUCUCGGACCUCAUGUCUCCCUUGCUUGCCUCUCAAGAGAGCUAGUGACAGAGCUUCGGACCUCAAGUCCCCCUGUGCCAGCCACAGUAGUUCUUCACACCACGUCACUCUUAUGGAAUUGCUGAUUUCCUCUAUUUCCUUGUGUAAUGGAGAAGCUCUGCUUGGAUUUUGUGCUCCAGGACAGGGUAAAUGCCGACUGAAGAUGUGACACCAGCCAGCGCUGCAUACUUAAAGAACAAUCUGGAGCCGAAGGUGGCAGCCACACUUGUAGUCCCAGCUACUCUGGAAGCUGAAGUGGAAGGCUUGCUUGGGCCCAGGAGAGUCCAGCCUGGGCAAAAGAGCAAGACCAUCUCUUUAAAAAAGUCUGAAACAAAGACUUCAUCUUCUCAGUAUUUUUAUGCACCAACUCACACUAUUUUGAAUAGAAGAACUGAGAACGGGUGGGACGAGAAUGGGAUCUUUUUCCCUUAAGACAAUCAGGGAGUCCCAGAGCAGUAUGCGUUCUCAGCAGCCAUUUUCAGUGGAGCACUUGACUGUGCCUCUUGUCCCUCACUCUGAACUCCAAAUUGGUCAUGGAAGAGAAUCAUCCUUCGUGGAAGUCAGAUUGACGCUAAACCAGUUUUCUUUUUACACUACCUAUCUGCAUGUAACUUACAAAAAGGAAUUAUACCAACCCGCCUUCCUUAUAAUGCAGCAGAGAUCAGAUAAUGAGGUAAAUGUAAGUGCUCUAUAAAUACUAAAUAAUAUAAAACCAGAUUCUGCCACAAAGCCUGGGACCACAGUGAUAGUUUGAAAAAUGAAAGUUUUGGCCAGGCGCAGUGGCUCACGACUGUAAUCCCAGCACUUCGGGAGGCCAAGGCAGGCGGAUCACGGGGUCAGGAGAUCAAGACCAUUCUGGCUAACAAGGUGAAAUCCUGUCUCUACUAAAUAUACAAAAAUUAGCCAGGCAUGGUGGCAGGCACCUGUAGUCCCAGCUACACGGGAGGCUGAGGCAGGAGAAUGGCGUGAACCCGGGAGGUGGAGCUUGCAGUGAGCCAAGAUUGUGUCAUGCGCUCCAGCCUGAGUGACAGAGCGAGACUCUGUCUUGGGGAAAAAAAAGAAAGUUUUAAUUUUUUCCCUGAAAUAUCUCAUAUUAACUUCGUGGUAGUGUGAUUAUGAGGUCUGUCCCCAUUGAGUGAGAGUAUUUGCUCCUGUAGUCAGAAAGAGUCAUUAUGUACAGCUUGAUUAAUGGUUAGAGAAGUUGAAUAUAUAAUAUUAGAAAUACAUGGAUCCAUGCUGAGUGUUGGUUAUAAUUUAGGGCUUUUUUCCAAGUUGAUGACUGGGUUUGUUACUUUAAAGUAUCUCCCAGGAUGUACCAGGAGGUGUCUUCUUGUACAUAUAACUUCAUGGACAGCUCCUUGUUUAACUUCUCUGGCUCAUGUACUAGAAAAUUAAUCUUUGAAAUGAAUGAACAUAGCACAAGAGUUAUAUUCUGGUCCUGAGAAGUACAAUGUUGAUUUAAUAUUUUUAGUGAGUCCAGUCA